ACCGCCUGGGGGGCGGGGAGCGCGCGCCGGCGGCAUGGCAGUGGCCCGCUACCUGCGGCUGUGGCGCUGCUGGCGGCCGGGGCUGCCCGGGGGCCUUGCCCCGCUCGGUCUAGCGCGGCGGCGGCUGUACGCGGCCUGCUCCUCCGCCUCUCCGUGGGCGCUGUGGGGUCCGCGGGGCCCGGCCCCAUCCCCAUCCCCCCCCGCCGGCCUCAGCGUCGGGCCCCGGCGACACCUGCGUGGCCUGGGCGGCGGGGACGGGCUGGAGGGCGGCGGAGCCGAGGACGGCGGGGGCGGCGGGGCCGAUCCCGCCGGGGCCCCCCCGGCCAUGACGGCGCUGACCCCGCUGCUCAUCCCCGAGCGCUUCCCCAACGUGCCGCUCAUCGCCGUGACGCGCAACCCCGUCUUCCCGCGCUUCAUCAAGAUCCUGGAGGUGAAAAAUAAGAAGCUGGUGGAGCUGCUGAGGAGAAAAGUUCGCCUUGCCCAGCCUUAUGCUGGUGUCUUUUUGAAGAAAGAUGACAACAAUGAAUCUGACGUGGUGGAAAACCUGAAUGAAAUCUACCAGACAGGCACUUUUGUCCAGAUCCAUGAAAUGCAGGACCUUGGAGACAAGCUGCGCAUGAUUGUCAUGGGGCACCGAAGAAUUCGUAUAAACAAGCAACUAGAGAUUGAGCCUGAGGAAUCUGAGCCUGAGAACAAACAGAAAGCAAGAAGGAAGCUGAAGCGCUCCAAGAGAGAGGCUGAAGAAGAGGAGGGACCAAAGGACCAAACCGUGGAGCUGGUGCUAGAACCUGUGGCUGCCUCGCCAGAAGAAGUGCUCAUGGUAGAAGUGGAUAAUGUUGUCCACGAAGAUUUUCAGAUCACAGAAGAAGUUAAAGCGCUUACUGCAGAAAUUGUCAAAACAAUCCGGGACAUCAUUGCCUUGAACCCUCUCUACAGAGAAUCGGUGCUUCAGAUGAUGCAGGCAGGGCAACGAGUGGUAGAUAACCCAAUCUAUCUGAGUGACAUGGGUGCAGCGUUAACAGGGGCCGAGUCGCAUGAGCUGCAGGAUAUCCUGGAAGAAACCAAUAUUCCCAAACGGCUUUAUAAGGCCCUCUCUCUCCUGAAGAAAGAGUAUGAGCUGAGCAAACUCCAGCAGCGUCUUGGACGGGAGGUUGAGGAGAAGAUCAAGCAGACUCAUCGCAAGUAUCUUCUUCAAGAGCAACUGAAGAUUAUCAAGAAAGAGCUAGGCUUAGAGAAGGAGGACAAAGAUGCCAUAGAGGAGAAAUUCCGAGAGCGGCUCAAGGAUCUGGUAGUGCCAAAACAUGUCAUGGAAGUGAUUGAUGAAGAGCUGAACAAACUUGGUUUGCUGGACAAUCACUCCUCGGAAUUCAAUGUUACCCGGAACUACUUGGAUUGGCUGACAUCCAUCCCAUGGGGUAAAUGCAGCGAGGAGAACCUGGAUCUGACCAGAGCCCAGGCAGUUCUGGAGGAGGAUCACUAUGGAAUGGAUGACGUCAAGAAGCGAAUUCUGGAAUUCAUAGCAGUCAGCCAGCUGCGAGGAUCAACCCAAGGGAAGAUUCUUUGUUUUUAUGGCCCUCCAGGGGUUGGCAAGACCAGCAUUGCCCGCUCCAUCGCUAGAGCCUUAAACCGAGAGUAUUUCCGCUUCAGUGUUGGAGGAAUGACUGAUGUGGCAGAAAUCAAAGGACACAGGAGGACGUACGUUGGAGCAAUGCCAGGGAAAAUAAUCCAGUGCCUAAAAAAGACCAAGACAGAAAACCCCCUGAUCCUGAUCGAUGAGGUGGAUAAAAUUGGGCGAGGCUAUCAAGGUGACCCAUCCUCAGCCCUUCUAGAGCUGCUGGACCCAGAACAGAACUCUAACUUCUUGGAUCAUUACCUUGAUGUUCCUGUCGAUUUAUCAAAGGUGCUCUUUAUUUGUACCGCCAAUGUGACAGACACCAUCCCAGAGCCGUUGCGGGACAGAAUGGAAAUGAUCAAUGUGUCAGGAUAUGUCGCACAAGAGAAACUUGCAAUUGCAGAGAGGUAUUUGGUCCCUCAAGCACGUGUCCUGAGUGGUUUGGAUGAAACCAAGACCAAGAUCUCAUCAGAUGUGCUGACUGUUCUCAUCAAGCAGUACUGCAGGGAGAGUGGAGUGAGGAACCUGCAGAAGCAGGUGGAGAAGGUAUUAAGGAAAUCUGCCUAUAAGAUUGUCAGUGGAGAAGCAGACACAGUUGAGGUAACCCCUGAAAACUUGCAGGACUUCGUUGGCAAGCCCAUCUUCACUGUGGAUCGGAUGUAUGACCUCACUCCUCCUGGAGUGGUGAUGGGCCUGGCCUGGACAGCUAUGGGAGGUUCCACUCUAUUUAUUGAAACGUCCCUGCGGCGACCCAAAGACAAGGAAAACAAGGAUGGGUCCCUUGAAAUAACAGGCCAACUGGGAGAUGUGAUGAAGGAGAGCGCCAAAAUAGCUUACACAUUUGCUCGAGCUUUCCUGAUGCAGAAGGAACCCACCAAUGACUUUCUGGUGACCUCCCACAUCCACUUGCAUGUGCCCGAGGUUGAUUCGCCUUCCUCCACCAGUUCUGGAGUCCUUGCACUGGUGACAUCCCCACAAUGGACCUGUUUGCAACAAGCGAAAACUGGAAGUGUUGCCUGUUCUGCUCUUGGAGGGGAUGCCUUUCACUGCAGCUAACAAUCGACUGCUGUAUGCCUUCCCUUCUCUUCCAGUCAUUCCCCAGGUCAUCGCUAAGCUCAAGGCAGAUCAAGCCAGACUCAUCCUGAUUACCCUGGCAUGACCAAGACAGUGCCGGUUCUCAGAUCUCCUUGCUGUCAGUCCAGCCUCCCAUGCUGCUUCUCCUCCAUCCUGACGACCUCAGACGGACCACAGCUACAUCUGGUGAUCAGCUCUGUUCACCUUCUGGCAUGGCUGAACAAGGGGGAAGAGUGUUGUUCAGAGGCUCUCCAACAGGUCCUACUUAACAGCAGGAAGUCUUUCACUAGGACGGCCUACUUAGUGAAGUGGAAGAGGAUUUUGGUGUGUUUUGGAACCCGUCCAACAGUGACUUUCAUCCAGGACAUCUUAGAGUACCUGCUGCACCUUCAGAAAUUAGGCUUAGCACUUGGCAGCAAUAUCCACGUUUCAUCCCCCUAUCCAAGGGAAAUCGGUUUUCUCCAACACUAUGAUGAUGAUAUUUCUAAAAGGAUUUCUUCACCUGCAUCCUCUGGUCGGAGAGCCUGUCCCCUUGUGGGGUCUGGACAUGGUUUUAACAGCGCUGAUGAGGCCUCCAUUUGAGCCUCUUGCUUCCUGUCCACUGCCCCUCUUGUCUGAGAAAACUGCAUUCUUGAUAGCCAUCACCAUUGCCAGGAGGCUGGGUGAGUUGCAGGCCCUGAUGGUGUGGCCUCCUUACACGCAGUUCUCCAGGGAUAAGGUAAUGCUUUAGCCACACCCAAAGUGGUCUCCCAGUUUCUUCUGAACAAGGCUGAAUAUUUGCCUGUGUUCUUCCCUAAGCCACUUUCCUCCCCAGAGGAACAGCGCCUCCAUAUGUUAGAUGGUGCCUCUAGCCUUUUAUCUGAACAGAACUGAAUUGUUUCAUGCUUCACCUCACAGACCACAUGAAGGGACAAGUGUUCUCUGCACAGACCAUCUCUAGGGGAAUAACAUCUUGUAUCAGGACUGUGUAUGAGAUAGCAUCGGCAACGUCUCCUCAGCAGAUACGGACCCCUUCGAUGAGAGCACAGGCAAUGGAGCAACCCCCAAGGACGGGCCAAGCGCAGGAUGUACCAUAAUAACGGCCUUACUGUCAUUGGCCAUGAAUCGUCCAGCGAGGCAAAACGUGGCCAUGACUGGAGAGGUGUCAUUAACUGGAAAGAUUCUUCCUGUU